rnacentral:rRNA from 1 species
GACGAACGCUGGCGGCGUGCUUAACACAUGCAAGUCGAACGGUAAGGCCCUUCGGGGUACACGAGUGGCGAACGGGUGAGUAACACGUGGGUGAUCUGCCCUGCACUUCGGGAUAAGCCUGGGAAACUGGGUCUAAUACCGGAUAGGACCACUGCCUGCAUGGGUGGUGGUGGAAAGCUGUUGCGGUGUGGGAUGGGCCCGCGGCCUAUCAGCUUGUGGGUGGGGUGAUGGCCUACCAAGGCGACGACGGGUAGCCGGCCUGAGAGGGUGACCGGCCACACUGGGACUGAGAUACGGCCCAGACUCCUACGGGAGGCAGCAGUGGGGAAUAUUGCACAAUGGGCGCAAGCCUGAUGCAGCGACGCCGCGUGAGGGAUGACGGCCUUCGGGUUGUAAACCUCUUUCAGCACCGACGAAGCGCAAGUGACGGUAGGUGCAGAAGAAGGACCGGCCAACUACGUGCCAGCCGCCGCGGUAA